UAGAGCCUUGCGUGUUGCCAUGCCAACACACAACAGCAAGAGCAAAAUAUAACACUGGGCUGUGUGAGGCAAGAACAUGAAUCUGUCACUACAGUGGGUACAGGUUCACCCAAACCUGACAGUUAAAGUUUGGAAAAACAUUGCCUGGUCUGCCGCAUGAUUGGCUGUUUGGAUAAUUGCAUGAAUGAGCAGGUGUAUAGGUGUCCCUAAUAAAGUGGCCUACGUGCGUUGCUGUAUUCUGACGUCGUCUUUAUUUGGAAGCAUCUGGGACUUGACUCUGAGGAGACAUGAAGAGCAAACCCUCACAACCACUAAGAGCUUGGCUUUUCAGCUUAAAUAAAGGCACAGCUAGGGGUGACAACCCACCGCAGGGCACGAUCACGCACACAUUCACACACUAUGGAAAAGCCAUCCAGCCUACAAGACAUUUCUUUGGACGGUGGGAGGAAACUGGGGUGCCUGGAGGAAACCCCCAAAGAACGUGGCGAGCAAACUCCGUGCACACAGAGCAGAAGACGGAUUCGAAACCCAAACCGCAACGCAUCGAGGCAAGCGUGCUAACCACUAAGCCACCCUUCACUACAUAAAAAGAUUUUUAAAACCUGUUUAGUGAAACGUCAGGUCUAAUGAUAGUCAAUAAAUGUUUAUGUGUAUCGUUUGAAUGAAUUCUUCAGUCACACAUAUUUGCAAAAGUAGCGCUAAAAUUGUCUAAUUCAUCCUUUUCAGAAAUGGAACAAUUUUUUUCCCCAGAUUAAUUUGUGCUUAUUUGUUACCAGUAACCAGAAUUAUUUUUGGAGCGCUCCAGUGUUGGAAAGUUGUCAAAACUCCAAAGAGCAGCUUUGGUAAGAUUUCCUCUCAGGCUUGUCUCAUCCUAAGAGCUUUAUUGUUAAAAGCUGUAGUUUUACAUUUGUAUUAUAUAGUCACAUAUUUUAAGCAGGGUGUUAAACAUGAUGACUUAGUGGUCAGCACGUUUGCUUCGCAACUCCGGGGUUGGGGGAUCGAUUCCUACCUCCGCCCUGAGCCCUGGGGUUUCCUCUAGGUACUCUGGUUUAAUCCUCCCAGUCCAAAAGACAUGCACUGUAGGGUGAUUGGCAUCUCUAAAUUGUCCAUAGUGUGUGAAUGAGUGUGAUUAUGCCCUGGACGAGGGUGCUAACCCAUCACGUGGGGAAAAAGCUGUCCCCCACCUUAUGCUCCAAGUCCCCGGGGAUAGGCUCCAGGCUCCCCCACAA